UAGCGAAGGGGGCUAGCGUUGCUCGGAAUUAGCUGGGCGUAAAGGGCGCGUAGGCGGACAGUUUAGUCAGAGGCUGAAAGCCCAGGGCUCAACCUUGGAAUAGCCUUUGAUACUGACUGUCGUUGAGUUCGGGAGAGGUGAGUGGAAUGCCGAGUGUAGAGGUGAAAUUCGUGAGAUAUUCGGCGGAACACCGGUGGCGAAGGCGGUUCUCUGGGCCUUACCUGACGGCUGAGGAGCGAAAGCGUGGGGGAGCGAACAGG
rnacentral:rRNA from 1 species